GUGGGGGAGGCAAACAGGAUUAGAUACCCUGGUAGUCCACCGCUGUAAACGAUGGAUACUAGGUGUGGGAGGUAUCGACCCCUUCCGUGCCGGAGUUAACACAAUAAGUAUCCCACCUGGGGAGUACGGCCGCAAGGCUGAAACUCAAAGGAAUUGACGGGGGCCCGCACAAGCAGUGGAGUAUGUGGUUUAAUUCGAAGCAACGCGAAGAACCUUACCAGGGCUUGACAUACCGAUGACCGGGUUAGAGAUAACCCUUCCCUUCGGGGCAUCGGAUACAGGUGGUGCAUGGUUGUCGUCAGCUCGUGUCGUGAGAUGUUGGGUUAAGUCCCGCAACGAGCGCAACCCCUGUUGUUAGUUGCCAUCAUUAAGUUGGGCACUCUAACAAGACUGCCGGUGACAAAUCGGAGGAAGGUGGGGAUGACGUCAAAUCAUCAUGCCCCUUAUGUCCUGGGCUACACACGUACUACAAUGGCGAUUACAGAGGGCAGCGAAACCGCGAGGUGGGGCAAAUCCCUAAAGGUCGCCCCAGUUCAGAUUGCAGGCUGAAACUCGCCUGCAUGAAGUAGGAAUUGCUAGUAAUGGCAGGUCAGCAUACUGCCGUGAAUACGUUCCCGGGCCUUGUACACACCGCCCGUCACACCAUGAGAGUUGACAACACCCGAAGUCAGUAGCUUAACCGCAAGGAGAGCGCUGCCGAAGGUGGGGUUGAUGAUUAGGGUGAAGUCGUAACAAGGUAAC
rnacentral:rRNA from 1 species